rnacentral:rRNA from 1 species
AGGAAUAUUGGUCAAUAGCCUAACGGCUGAACCAGCAACUUGGAAGAAUGAAUGGCAAUAACCAAUCACAUUAAAAAGAUUUUUUAGUGUGAAAUCGACUCUGUCGAAUAAAAUUCUGGGUGGAAUAUUGAUAAUGACAUUUUCUAUCUAUUUGUCUUGACCAAAUUACGUGCCAGCAGUCGCGGUAAUACGUAAAAGACUAGUGUUAUUCAUCUUUAAUAGGUUUAAAGGGUACUUAGACGGUAAAUCAAGCCAAUAUAUAAAAGGUACUAGUUUACUUAGAGUUUUAUGUGAGAUGUAAAUACGGUUGAAUUCUUGAGAGAAGAGAUGAAAUUCAGUCAUCCGUCGAGGUUACGGGUAAAGGCGAAAGCGACCAUCUAUGUAAAAACUGACGUUGAAG